CUUGCUUCUCUUGAGAGCGGCGGACGGGUGAGUAAUGCCUAGGAAUCUGCCUGGUAGUGGGGGAUAACGUUCGGAAACGGACGCUAAUACCGCAUACGUCCUACGGGAGAAAGCAGGGGACCUUCGGGCCUUGCGCUAUCAGAUGAGCCUAGGUCGGAUUAGCUAGUUGGUGGGGUAAUGGCUCACCAAGGCGACGAUCCGUAACUGGUCUGAGAGGAUGAUCAGUCACACUGGAACUGAGACACGGUCCAGACUCCUACGGGAGGCAGCAGUGGGGAAUAUUGGACAAUGGGCGAAAGCCUGAUCCAGCCAUGCCGCGUGUGUGAAGAAGGUCUCCGGAUUGUAAAGCACUUUAAGUUGGGAGGAAGGGUUGUAGAUUAAUACUCUGCAAUUUUGACGUUACCGACAGAAUAAGCACCGGCUAACUCUGUGCCAGCAGCCGCGGUAAUACAGAGGGUGCAAGCGUUAAUCGGAAUUACUGGGCGUAAAGCGCGCGUAGGUGGUUUGUUAAGUUGGAUGUGAAAUCCCCGGGCUCAACCUGGGAACUGCAUUCAAAACUGACUGACUAGAGUAUGGUAGAGGGUGGUGGAAUUUCCUGUGUAGCGGUGAAAUGCGUAGAUAUAGGAAGGAACACCAGUGGCGAAAGCGACCACCUGGACUAAUACUGACACUG
rnacentral:rRNA from 1 species